AGGAGUUUGGAUCCUGGCUCAGAAUCAACGCUGGCGGCGUGCCUAACACAUGCAAGUCGAACGCGAAAGCCCCGCAAGGGGUAAGUAGAGUGGCAAACGGGUGAGUAACACGUGGGUGACCUGCCUUCGAGUGGGGGAUAACGUCCCGAAAGGGACGCUAAUACCGCAUGAUAUCCUGCCUUUGGAAAGGUGGAGAUCAAAGCUGGGGAUCGCAAGACCUGGCGCUUGAAGAGGGGCCCGCGCCUGAUUAGCUAGUUGGUGGGGUAAUGGCUCACCAAGGCUACGAUCAGUAUCCGGCCUGAGAGGGCGGACGGACACACUGGGACUGAGACACGGCCCAGACUCCUACGGGAGGCAGCAGUGGGGAAUUGUUCGCAAUGGGCGCAAGCCUGACGACGCAACGCCGCGUGGAGGACGAAGAUCUUCGGGUCGUAAACUCCUGUCGAGCGGGAAGAAGACUCCGCGGUUGAAUAGACCGCGGAAUUGACGGUACCGCUAAAGGAAGCCCCGGCUAACUCCGUGCCAGCAGCCGCGGUAAUACGGGGGGGGCAAGCGUUGUUCGGAAUUACUGGGCGUAAAGGGCUCGUAGGCGGCCAACUAAGUCAGAUGUGAAAUCCCCAGGCUUAACCUGGGAACUGCAUCUGAUACUGGAUGGCUUGAAUCCGGGAGAGGGAUGCCAGAAUUCCAGGUGUAGCGGUGAAAUGCGUAGAUAUCUGGAGGAAUACCGGUG
rnacentral:rRNA from 1 species